UGGCACAUGACAUUAUUUUUUUAAGCUUCCAAUUAUUGGAAGAAUUACCUAAAUGACUGUUCAAUUGUUAUAUCAAACUGAAAUAAAUAGAAAAUAGACUUGUUGUACUUGCUUGUUAUUGUCACAUAGGUCGUACUAAACAUUAGUAAAGUCUAGGAUAUUGCAUGGAGAAUUUUAUCACUUUUAGCCACGCGGUUCUAACACGCGGUUAGAAAUUUUUCGGCUUUAAAAUGAAAAAGGAAAGAGCCUGCGCACAAAAAGCUGCGCGUACUUCAUGAAAAUAUUAUUUAUUUAUUUUCAACAAUAAAAAUAUUAAUUUAUUAUUAACAAUAUUAACAUCAAAUAUUAUUUAUUCAAUGUCAAAAAAAUAAAAAUAGUUCAAUUAUGUUAACAAAAAUUCGAUCGUAGUGUCAACUGAAAAAUUUAUGAAUAAAAAAAGACAGUGAAAAAGUUGAUGUGUAUAUCGUAUUCAGUUCAGAGAGACUUAGUUAUU